GUGUCAGCAGCCGCGGUAAUACGUAGGGUGCAAGCGUUGUUCGGAAUCACUGGGCGUAAAGAGAGCGUAGGCGGGAUCGUAAGUUAGAAGUUUAAUACAUGGGCUUAACCCGUGGUCGGCUUUUAAUACUGCGGUUCUUGAGUGUGGGAGAGGGCGAUGGAAUUCCAGGUGUAGCGGUGGAAUGCGUAGAUAUCUGGAAGAACACCAGUAGCGAAGGCGGUCGCCUGGCCUAACACUGACGCUGAGGCUCGAAAGCUAGGGGAGCAAACAGGAUUAGAAACCCCCGUAGUCC
rnacentral:rRNA from 1 species